AGUGAACGCUGGCGGUAGGCCUAACACAUGCAAGUCGAACGGCAGCACAGUAAGAGCUUGCUCUUACGGGUGGCGAGUGGCGGACGGGUGAGGAAUACAUCGGAAUCUACUUUUUCGUGGGGGAUAACGUAGGGAAACUUACGCUAAUACCGCAUACGACCUACGGGUGAAAGCAGGGGAUCUUCGGACCUUGCGCGAUUGAAUGAGCCGAUGUCGGAUUAGCUAGUUGGCGGGGUAAAGGCCCACCAAGGCGACGAUCCGUAGGUGGUCUGAGAGGAUGAGCAGCCACACUGGAACAGAGACACGGUCCAGACUCCUACGGGAGGCAGCAGUGGGGAAUAUUGGACAAGGGGCGCAAGCUUGCUCCACCCAUCCCGCGGGGGGAAAGACGGCCUUGGUGUUGUAAGGCCUUUUUGUGGGGAAAAAAAAGCAGCAGGUUAAUACCCCGCUGUUCGGACGUUCCCAAAAAAAUAAGCCCCGGCUAAUUUCGUC
rnacentral:rRNA from 1 species